UGGGGAAUAUUGGACAAUGGGCGCAAGCCUGAUCCAGCCAUACCGCGUGGGUGAAGAAGGCCUUCGGGUUGUAAAGCCCUUUUGUUGGGAAAGAAAUCCAGCCGGCUAAUACCUGGUUGGGAUGACGGUACCCAAAGAAUAAGCACCGGCUAACUUCGUGCCAGCAGCCGCGGUAAUACGAAGGGUGCAAGCGUUACUCGGAAUUACUGGGCGUAAAGCGUGCGUAGGUGGUUAUUUAAGUCCGUUGUGAAAGCCCUGGGCUUAACCUGGGAACUGCAGUGGAUACUGGAUGACUAGAAUGUGGUAGAGGGUAGCGGAAUUCCUGGUGUAGCAGUGAAAUGCGUAGAGAUCAUGAGGAACAUCCAUGGCGAAGGCAGCUACCUGGACCAACAUUGACACUGAGGCACGAAAGCGUGGGGAGCAAACA
rnacentral:rRNA from 1 species